rnacentral:rRNA from 1 species
AAGCUUGCUUCUCUGCUGACGAGCGGCGGACGGGUGAGUAAUGUAUGGGGAUCUGCCUGAUGGCGGGGGAUAACUACUGGAAACGGUAGCUAAUACCGCAUAAUGUCUACGGACCAAAGCGGGGGACCUUCGGGCCUCGCGCCAUCAGAUGAACCCAUAUGGGAUUAGCUUGUAGGUGAGGUAACGGCUCACCUAGGCGACGAUCCCUAGCUGGUCUGAGAGGAUGAUCAGCCACACUGGGACUGAGACACGGCCCAGACUCCUACGGGAGGCAGCAGUGGGGAAUAUUGCACAAUGGGCGCAAGCCUGAUGCAGCCAUGCCGCGUGUAUGAAGAAGGCCUUCGGGUUGUAAAGUACUUUCAGUCGGGAGGAAGGUGGUAAGGUUAAUAACCUUAUCAAUUGACGUUACCGACAGAAGUAGCACCGGCUAACUCCGUGCCAGCAGCCGCGGUAAUACGGAGGGUG